rnacentral:RNase_P_RNA from 1 species
GAGGAAAGUCCGGGCUCUAUUUAUAGAAAUAUAGCUGUAUAAAAUUCAGUGUAAGUAACUACUAGGAUAGUGCCACAGAAAUAUACCGCCUGUUGUUUGUUCAGGUAAGGGUGCAAUGGUACAUUAAAAGUGUACCAGAAAUAUUUUCAAGAUAUUUGCUAGGUAAACCCCGUAUUAGAGCAAAGUAAUCAAUUGUAUAAGUUUUCUAUAAAUUUUACUUUAAUAUAUUUUAUAAUAUUUAAGGUAUUACUGGUUUAUUUAUAUACUGCAUUAAGUAAAAUUUUUUACUAUAGAUUAAUAAUUACCCUUUUUAUUAAAUUAAUAAUAUAUAUUUUUUAUAAAAAAGAACAAAACCCGGCUUAC